CGGCGGGGCCGUGAGGGGCGGGAGCGGCCCCGCCCCCUCAGUCCAAAUCCAGCCGGGACAGAGCCCAAAUCCAGCCGGGAAGCAGCCAGGCGCCACCGCCCGACCCCACAGCGGCACGGAACGGUGCAGUGAAUAAACCUAUUUUGCAGUUAUCCCAGUCAGCAACAUCCACCUGUUGAAUAUUACUUGGAUACUGACCCCACAAGAGAAAAAUUACAGGAUCCUGUGGAGAUACAGGGCUGGUUUGGAUACCCAGUCCUAUUCCAGC